UUUUAUGGAGAGUUUGAUCCUGGCUCAGGAUGAACGCUGGCGGCGUGCCUAAUACAUGCAAGUCGAGCGAACAGACGAGGAGCUUGCUCCUCUGACGUUAGCGGCGGACGGGUGAGUAACACGUGGAUAACCUACCUAUAAGACUGGGAUAACUUCGGGAAACCGGAGCUAAUACCGGAUAAUAUAUUGAACCGCAUGGUUCAAUAGUGAAAGACGGUUUUGCUGUCACUUAUAGAUGGAUCCGCGCCGCAUUAGCUAGUUGGUAAGGUAACGGCUUACCAAGGCAACGAUGCGUAGCCGACCUGAGAGGGUGAUCGGCCACACUGGAACUGAGACACGGUCCAGACUCCUACGGGAGGCAGCAGUAGGGAAUCUUCCGCAAUGGGCGAAAGCCUGACGGAGCAACGCCGCGUGAGUGAUGAAGGUCUUCGGAUCGUAAAACUCUGUUAUUAGGGAAGAACAAAUGUGUAAGUAACUAUGCACGUCUUGACGGUACCUAAUCAGAAAGCCACGGCUAACUACGUGCCAGCAGCCGCGGUAAUACGUAGGUGGCAAGCGUUAUCCGGAAUUAUUGGGCGUAAAGCGCGCGUAGGCGGUUUUUUAAGUCUGAUGUGAAAGCCCACGGCUCAACCGUGGAGGGUCAUUGGAAACUGGAAAACUUGAGUGCAGAAGAGGAAAGUGGAAUUCCAUGUGUAGCGGUGAAAUGCGCAGAGAUAUGGAGGAACACCAGUGGCGAAGGCGACUUUCUGGUCUGUAACUGACGCUGAUGUGCGAAAGCGUGGGGAUCAAACAGGAUUAGAUACCCUGGUAGUCCACGCCGUAAACGAUGAGUGCUAAGUGUUAGGGGG
rnacentral:rRNA from 1 species